AAACCGGGCCACAUUUUUCUUUUCUGCAUAUUCGGUCCGCUUUUUCCGCCGCCUGACCAAAAUGCCCCUCGUAUACAAAAGCCUCCGGCAUAUUCCUCGACAUACGUAUACCCUGCCAUAUGGGCCUCGCGGGCAUUAAAUGCGCCCCUUCCGCUUUACGCAACCUCGCUCUUUUUCGAAAUCCGGACCAUAUCCGCCCCGCUAUUCACCUGCCCCACUGUUUGCUAUUCGGCUUUAAGACUUUAAUAAAAUU
rnacentral:lncRNA from 1 species